rnacentral:tRNA from 1 species
CCUCCAGUCGUCUAGUGGUCUGGAUAUCCGGUUCUCACCCGGAAGGUCAGGGUUCAAUCCCCUGCUGGAGGA